GUGACGACUACCUCCACGACUGCGUCUACAACUAAAGGGAAUGUUAUCACCACGACCACACCUUCCUCUAAUGUGAAGGCGCUCCUGACGACUACACUUUCAUCUAAUGGGAAUGUCAUCUUCAAGAUCACAUCUUCAUCUAAUGGAAAAACCAAUGAUGCAGGUGGUGGCGCUGUAGUCACACGUACCUACCUGGCUCUGCUGCUUAUAUUUACCAUCCUUCUAAUGUUUAUUUUCAUGUAACCCGUGGAGUUUAU